UUGUGAUUUGCAUUCGGGUGAAAGAGUAACUCUAUCUUUUUUAACAGAAAUGAACCUUAAUUUUCUUGUAACGCGGAUUUUCUUAGUUUUUCUAACAUUCAAUUGUCCUCAGAAGUAUAUUUCCUCAGUGAGUUUUUCGAAUCGGAAGAGCCAAGCAAGCAAAUAGUUUAAUUUGCCCAGAGCAUCACAAUUUCAACUUUCAACGACAAAAAAGGGUUUGCUAAUCAUGCCUUGUCCUGGCCCGAAUUCCAACUUCUACAGGUACAAGCGGUUCUAAACAUUAUCCAAUUGUUUUUGCAAUUUUGCCAGUGGAGAGAAGACACAUGAGUGGUUGGUAAUCGAUAUGGAAGUAACUGCAAUCAAUCAUCGUUUUGAAUUGAAUUUCUGAUAUGGAAGACGUGGAGUGACGUCGUUUAGCCGAUACUCUUACUUAUUCAACCCUUAAAUGUGUGUUCAUUCUCACUUUUAGUCACAAUCCAUAAUAGCCUUCAAUUUCUGCAUAUGGGUGACUUCGAGCUUUCCUAAACCCUUCAAUUGAUGCUUCAAGUUUAGUUUUUUUUUUUUUCAUUAUUUGAUGGUGUUGCAUAAUUUAGGAUCAGUUCCGACUACUUUAGAAAUGUUUGAAGUGAAUUAUCUAAUUUGACAAUUUUCUAGUUUAUUUCACCUUCUUUAAUUUGCAUCAGGAUUAGUGUUUUUUCUGGUGACGUUUCUCGGUUCUCAGCCUGGAAGCAAUUCUUGUAAGUACUGUUGCAUCGGUGUAGCUUGUGGCAGCGGAGUAAUGUUUUAACCCUUUUUGUUUGUGCUAUGUUUCUGCAGCUUUAGUCUGCGAUGAUUAUUACUCUUUUAAGUCUGUGCAGUGGGAGAAGCCUUGUAUGACGGAAAGAGUGGCAGAAAUAGCAGGAAGAACACAAGGGUCUUAGCUGGGCUCAUUGCUCUCAACAAAAAUGCUUAUAGACAACAGGUACACUCUCAAAUCAGUUCCAUUAACACACUCAGCUAUAUAUAAGAAAUCAGCAAGCUUCUUAUCCUCUUUAAUCUCAGAUUCUUCUUAUCAAGGUUUUAAAUUGCAGAAGCAAUGUGUUCACGGUGAAUCCAAAAACCUUAGGCUAUAGACCGGUUUUGGAAACCAUGUUUCUAAUUGGUCGAUUAUCGUUUCAAAAGUGUAAUGUAGUCCCAUUGAAUUUCGUGUUGCUUUAUCUCUGAUCAUGAAUAAACUUAGUUGUCUUUCAAUGGCAUAAGUUAUGGUAUCAUUUUUUUUAUUUUUGCACAAAUAUGGCAAUCUUCCUGUGCAUUCUGAUGCCAUAUUCCUAUUUCAAUAAUUCUACUUUACAGAUCUUCUGCAGGAGUAGCCAAAACAGGGUUUAUUCGGUCAACUUGGUGUAUUGGUAGUAUCGUACACUCAAAACCAUUAGCGAUUCCCCUCCUCUCUUUUCCCUCCCCCUCCCUGAGUAGAUAAUUAUAUUCUGGCUUCUUCCAAUGAAUUAUUUUUGUUAUUUUGUACUUUUGCAAGACAUUGAGGAUGGCUAGGCUCUUACUAUUUUUCGCACUUGCACAUGCCCAGUUUUUGCUUCUUGAAACUUGAUCAUAUUGUGACAGCUAAUAUUUUUAAACUAUAAAUUAAUUUACUCAUGUUUAUUUAA